GCCGCUCUACGAGCUCGAGGCUCGACUCUCGUUUUUUCACAGCGCCGCUUAUAUUAUGCAGGUAAUUUUUGAAUUAUUUGCAGUUCGCGUGGAAAUUGCCGGCGCACUGGGGACUCGGGCUUGAGGGCGAACUACAGAAAUGAAGAAAUUGUUGGAUGUGGGCUUUGCGCGUCUGUCCGUAAAUAGUCGACAGGGAGAAAAAGACUGCGAUGUACCUGAAUCUUGGUCUGCAAAGUGUGUAGCUUGCAUCUCACUUGCGCAACAGUAUUCGACAGCAGCGGCUGCACGCUCAAAAUGGCGCCACGCGGUGAGCGAACGCGAGAUAGAAAAACGCCUUGCUGUUGCUGCUCGGAAACUUGUUCUUUCAGUUUCUCUCCUACAUGAAAGCGUGACGUCACCGUGAUUAAUAUAAACUCCUCGCCGUCGCCGUCGUCAUCGUGUACGGAAAUGACGUCAUGUCUUUGUCUUUUUUUAUCGCUGACACAGACACGUGCCAAGAGCUUUUUUUAAAAUACCGGUGCUCGCAACUUAGAGGCCUAUGUAGAGGUCGUAGCGGCUAGAAAUAGAAGUGGCGCGACAGAAAGAAAACGAGAAGCUGCAGUUGGCAUGAAUUAUGAACAACACAGUCGAGAUCUUUUGUUUUUAUCGUCCAGCGUCUGACGCCAGUGCCGUUGCUACUGCUGCUGCUGUUGGAAUACACGCAGAAAUGCAAAUCGCUCACCGGAGGGUGAGCAUGUCGCCAACUUGAGGGGGAUAAAAAGAAGAUUAGCCAGGCCGAGUAAGAAACCGGACACCGCAUCAUCCGCGCACGAGAGCCAGCCAAGAAAAAGAACGGCUCGUUUGACCAGAUAAUACACUUUGUAAAGCUGCGUCCAGUUAUUUGGAAAUGCUCAUUAGAUUAAUCAUGUCUUUUUUCUUUAACGGUUUUUCACAGUCUUUCUCUAGCCAAAUCAUAAAUUUGCGUCUUUCAAUCCAUUUUUCGUAAAUAGUCGUUGAUGAUGAUUGUGCUUAGAUAUAAACUAUUUCUAUUUUUAAAGUAUUUGAAAGUAACGACUAAACAGUUCUAUUUACAUAGGAAAAAGUAAAUAAAGUUUAAAUAAAAGCGUAAUACUUGAAAGGCCUAAUCAAGACAAACGUAACUGAACGAAUAUAAAAUAUAAACAGAAAAGACCAAACGUAUAACUGUAUUGAUAGCUUCCAUAAUUCAAAAAUAAUUCUACCUCAAUAAUAGUCUUUCUUCCCCUCAUUAAUAAUUCAAGUAAGUAAAACGAUAGGAAAAAGCGCGCGAUAAAUUAGUAAAAGCUUCUUAUUUGCUAUCGCUUCUAAAAUUCACAUUGCCCGCUGCAAGUGGAAGGUGGGAUCGUCGCAUUUAUUAAGUUUCUCUGGAAAGUGUACGUGUAUCCCUUCUGUCGGCUGAGGGGAUAUGAAGCGACGAUAGGUGAGUGUUAUAUACCCCACCAAGCAUUUUUAACCCCCACCAUGGCGCGUCCAACGGGCGAGUGCUCACUCCUAGAAAAUAGUGGAGGGGCAUGUCGCCCGAUUAGAUAAGUAGGGGAGGUUUAGAUGAAACUUUAGAUAAUUUCAGCUAUCUUGGCCUUCUCUCUCUCUCUCUCUCUCUCUCUCUCUCUCUUUCUCUCACUCUCUCGACGCAACAGCUCCCCUGCGACGCCGCC